GCGUUUUUGAGUGAGUGUGGACGACGCUGGAUCUUCUCACCGGCUGCCAUGAUCGAACAAACAGCAGAAAUUAAGAUCAAGGAGGAGCAUCACAACAGUUUCGUUGAAGUAGACAUUCUUGUGGAAGCUUGAUGAGUACACACCAGGUUUUGCAGCUAAUGCAUGCCAAAGGAGGAGCAGCUAGUUGCAAGAUGCAUCCUCUGCUGGACAGUUUAAAUACACAGAACAUUGAGGAAAAAAAGAGAUGCUGUUGUCUGCUGCCUCAAUAACUACCUCGGGGAAAGACAAGAAGAUAUGUUCCAUGACUGGCAGGAAUGUGAGGAGUACACAGACAAAACGAUGAAGGAGAUUGUGAAGCACAAUUUGUCUAUUGUGAUCGGGGGAAAACAAGUGAUGGAAGGAUGAGGAAGCCAAACAGAGGCAUGCAUACUGCUGGGACUCAUAUGCAAUUAACAUUGAAUAUCCAAAGGAGCUGAAGAACACGUUUGAAGCUUUUCAAAAACUUUGUUUUAGAAAAUGAUGGGGCAAAACCACUGAAGAAGGUCCACAGCCUCAAAAAUAAGCUCAUGCAGUAGACAUUUCUCCUCUUACUUAAAGAGGAUCUUUUGUUUGGACAUGCCUUGAUGGAGUUGUAAUGGAGUGUUUUAUAUAUUUUUUUCUCUUCCAUCAUUUGCUUCACACACAGACAAAGACCCAUCCACUGUCUCAGCCCUCUCCAUUGCUCUGUGUUUUCCCCCAUAUUGACAGAAAAGGAAUACUAAUAGAAAGUGGCCUAAAGAAUUUUGAUCUCACCUACCGUCUUUUCUUCCCCAGUUGUUUGUUUAUUUUAUUCUCAUCCUAUCUGCGAGAGUGAGAGUAAGGACAAAAAAUAAAGAAUUUUGUUUUACUUUUUUCCGGAUAUUUGAUACUGUACAUGCACAAAA
rnacentral:lncRNA from 1 species